rnacentral:rRNA from 1 species
UACGAAGGGGGCUAGCGUUGUUCGGAAUUACUGGGCGUAAAGCGCGCGCAGGCGGUCUUCCAAGUCAGUGGUGAAAGCCCGGAGCUCAACUCCGGAACUGCCAUUGAAACUGUUGGACUUGAGUACGAGAGAGGUGAGUGGAAUUCCCAGUGUGGAGGUGAAAUUCGUAGAUAUUGGGAAGAACACCGGUGGCGAAGGCGGCUCACUGGCUCGUAACUGACGCUCAGGCGCGACAGCGUGGGGAUCAAACAGG